rnacentral:rRNA from 1 species
GGAGAGUUUGAUCAUGGCUCAGAACGAACGCUGGCGGCAGGCUUAACACAUGCAAGUCGAGCGACCCUUUCGGGGGGAGCGGCGGACGGGUGAGUAACGCGUGGGAACGUACCCUUUUCUACGGAAUAGCAUUUGGAAACGAAUGGUAAUACCGUAUACACCCUUCGGGGGAAAGAUUUAUCGGAAAAGGAUCGGCCCGCGUUAGAUUAGGUAGUUGGUGGGGUAACGGCCUACCAAGCCACCGAUCUAUAGCUGGUUUGAGAGGAUGAUCAGCCACACUGGGACUGAGACACGGCCCAGACUCCUACGGGAGGCAGCAGUGGGGAAUCUUGGACAAUGGGGGAAACCCUGAUCCAGCCAUGCCGCGUGAGUGAAGAAGGCCCUAGGGUCGUAAAACUCUUUCAACUGUGAAGAUAAUGACGGUAGCAGUAGAAGAAGUCCCGGCUAACUCCGUGCCAGCAGCCGCGGUAAUACGGAGGGGACUAGCGUUGUUCGGAAUUACUGGGCGUAAAGCGUACGUAGGCGGAUUAGUAAGUUAGAGGUGAAAUCCCGGGGCUUAACCCCGGAACUGCCUUUAAAACUGCUAGUCUUGAGGUCGAGAGAGGCGAGUGGAAUUCCAAGUGUAGAGGUGAAAUUCGUAGAUAUUUGGAGGAACACCAGCGGCGAAGGCGGCUCGCUGGCUCGAUACUGACGCUGAGGUACGAAAGUGUGGGGAGCAAACAGGAUUAGAUACCCUGG